GACGAACCGUGCAAACGUUGUUCGGAAUCACUGGGCUUAAAGGGCGCGUAGGCGGGCUGGCCAGUCAUGGGUGAAAGCCCACAGCUCAACUGUGGAAGUGCCUUUGAUACUGCCAGUCUCGAGGGAGGUAGGGGCGUGCGGAACUUCCGGUGGAGCGGUGAAAUGCGUAGAUAUCGGAAGGAACACCGGUGGCGAAAGCGGCGCGCUGGACCUCUUCUGACGCUGAGUCGCGAAAGCCAGGGGAGCAAACGGG
rnacentral:rRNA from 1 species